ensembl:lncRNA
CUGCGCUGCGCGGACCUGCAAGGAGGAGAGGAGGAUGGCAGCAAAAAGGAAGAACCUGAAUAUAAGAAAGUAUUUUUCAAAGAAACCUCGGAGCGACCAGCAGCUGUGAAGAAUUCUGAAGGUGCGCACAUUCUGGUUCCUGCAAAGCACAGACAGAAAGAAUGGAUUGGGAGCAGUCUCACGCUGAAAUCAAGAUCAACACUCCACAGAGCGACAGAUGAAUGAAGAGCAGAAGCCAGAUGGUAUACCAGAGAACUGACAGUAUGGAUUUUCCCUCACAAUGCAGUCACAUCUAAAAGUCUCUGUGAUACACACUCACUGGUCACCGGAGUCGGUUUGAAC